UAAUACAUGCAAGUCGAGCGGAUCUUCAUUAGCUUGCUUUUGAAGAUCAGCGGCGGACGGGUGAGUAACACGUGGGCAACCUGCCUGUAAGACUGGGAUAACUUCGGGAAACCGGAGCUAAUACCGGAUAAUCCUUUCCCUCUCAUGAGGGAAAGCUGAAAGACGGUUUCGGCUGUCACUUACAGAUGGGCCCGCGGCGCAUUAGCUAGUUGGUGAGGUAACGGCUCGCCAAGGCGACGAUGCGUAGCCGACCUGAGAGGGUGAUCGGCCACACUGGGACUGAGACACGGCCCAGACUCCUACGGGAGGCAGCAGUAGGGAAUCUUCCGCAAUGGACGAAAGUCUGACGGAGCAACGCCGCGUGAGCGAUGAAGGCCUUCGGGUCGUAAAGCUCUGUUGUCAGGGAAGAACAAGUACCGGAGUAACUGCCGGUACCUUGACGGUACCUGACCAGAAAGCCACGGCCAACUACGUGCCAGCAGCCGCGGUAAUAC
rnacentral:rRNA from 1 species